UAAAUUGACUUAGCGGCGGACGGGUGAGUAACGCGUGGGUAACCCGCCUUACACUGGGGGAUAACAGUUAGAAAUGACUGCUAAUACCGCAUAAGCACACAGGGCCGCAUGGUCCGGUGUGAAAAACUCCGGUGGUGUAAGAUGGACCCGCGUCUGAUUAGGUAGUUGGUGGGGUAACGGCCCACCAAGCCGACGAUCAGUAGCCGACCUGAGAGGGUGACCGGCCACAUUGGGACUGAGACACGGCCCAA
rnacentral:rRNA from 1 species